AGGAAAGCAUGUCUAUUCUCCCUCUGAUGCCUUUCUCACUGCCCUGAAGUUAGCCAGCCCAGUCUUCCGAGCGUCCCGCCCGCCGAUGCGCUCACUCCUGGCCAGGAUGGCCUCCUGUCUGGCCCUGCGCAUGGCGCUGCUGCUGGUCUCUGGGGUUCUGGCCCCUGCGGUGCUCACAGAUGAGGGUCUGCAGGAGCCGGUGCCCACGCUGUGGAACGAGCCAGCCGAGCUGCCGUCGGGAGAAGGCCCUGUGGAGAGCACCAGCCCCGGCCGGGAACCCGUGGACACCGGUCCCCCAGCCCCCACCGCCGCGCCAGGACCCGAGGACAGCACCGCGCAGGAGCGGCUGGACCAGGGCGGCGGUACGGGCGGGGCAGGGGCGGGGUCUCUGGGGCCCGGCGCCAUCGCGGCCAUCGUGAUCGCCGCCCUGCUGGCCACCUGCGUGGUGCUGGCGCUCGUGGUCGUCGCGCUGAGAAAGUUUUCCGCCUCCUGAAGCCAAUAAAGGGGCCGCGUCCGGCCGCGGCGCGAAUCGGCUGCACUCCCGGCGCGCCCGUGUGUCCGCGCGUGCAGAGGCUCUGAGGUCUCAGGACCGCCAAGCACCCUGCUGUGGCCUGUGGGAAGACGCUGCAGAGUCCACUGGAUCUAAAUCGAAGGCCUGUUCCGGCAAGCAGGGAAACUGUCCUGGCAGAGAGGGUGGUCCUGGACACACAGGACCCCUCAACAGCUGGGACGGAGCUGGGGCAAGGAGAGGGGCUGCAGCUCUGGGUAACGGAAGGUGUGAGGGACCCAAGGCCUGUGUCUGAGCUGUGCAGAAGUCCCAGCCCCACGCCUGUGCUUAGACCCCCUGUAGGGCCCCCAUCAGGGACACUUCAGGGCCUCUGUGGCCUUCCAUAGCUGUGCCCUCACUGCCACUGCAGCAGAGGGGCAUCCGCAGCUCCCGCAAACAGCCCCUUCUGUUUCUGGAGUCUAUAAGUGUAGCCCAAAUCCACUCCCAUGCUGAGGUGAGGCCCAACUGCUCCCCGUUGCUCUGGAAACUUCCUCAAGCCCCUCCUUUCGGACAAGCCUCCUCCACCGGCCUCGAAGGGGUGCUCCUCUCUCCCUGCCUGGAACCAAACACCGCCUUCCUUUGUGUACCAGGGCAAUAAAGAGUAGACCUUCAUCUCCUUUAUUUUAUA